GCCAACCCUCCUCAUCUGUUUUGCUUCAAUGUCUGCCCUAAAGGCUGUGAGCAAAAUCGUUCCCUCAGCAUUUUCCUCACAGCUCAGAGAGGGAGAAAGAGAAAGAUGAAGGACAUUCACCCUCUGGCCCUACCCAGAGGCCUCUGUGGGCGUCCCGCAGGCAGAAGAGGAUGACAGAUGUCACCCCUUCCCUUGUGUGCAGGGGAGGCCGCCUCUGCCUGAUUCUGUCCAGUUAGCAAAACAGGAGGAGCUGCCAAGACAAAUAGCUGAGAUAUGAGAGUUACAGCUAGCGCUCACCACGGUGUGAAACAGACCCGUGAAACGAGACAUCAAGGAUGCUGCUUGGAAUAGCUUGAAUGUCGAACAUUCUUUCCCAGUGGAGGGACAGAAGGAGGCCAGCAGCAGCAGUGUGGGAGAUGGAGGCACAGUGUUGUCCCGGGGGCCGACACACGGGGCAACCCCAGAACUCUAUGCGAGCACUUUUUUGGGAUAAUUUUUCUCCCUAGGAGGAUCCAUCAUUUUCCGAGUGUACCAGGAACAAGAAGCCUGGGCUGAUUCACAGAGGGCGGCUCAGGCAGCCCCUCCCAUGGCACUCCGCCUAACUGGUCAGCCAAGCGUACCCAAGGCUCCAGACAACGUCACAGCCUAAUGGCUGCUGGGUGUGUCCACAGUGUGGAAUGCAUUGAGCUGUUUGCUCCUGUGGGCACAUUUCUGAGUCUAUGUCAUCCCCACCAAAAUAAAUCAUGUUUUAAAUGUACAUGAACUAUGACCAUAGACGUGCUCUCCCUGUCUCUUCUCCAUCAUUAAGUCUCAGCAGGACCUCACACCAGACAAUGGCAGGAUGGCCUGGAGAUGGGAAGGGAGGAAAAGCCAUCCUAUUCCAUGAGCAGCAUUCCCAGUGGUGCCGCACAAGCCAGGCCAUAGCAACACCUGGAAACCUUCUCCUGGAGACCUGGGGAAGGGUCCAGCUCACACAAAGACUAACUACUACCAUCACCCGACCUCAGAUCUCUGUGCCACCGUGAUCUAGUACACCAGAAUCUGCAGGGCCAGGUGAAGUUGGCGCAGCUUUUGGUUAACAGCGAUGCAAAUGGGACUUCAGAUUCAGAUGACUGUUGAAUCCAAUAAAGAGAAAAUUG
rnacentral:lncRNA from 1 species